ACAUAUGAGGGCAUUCUGGCCACAAUAGGCAUCACCUCAUUGAUCAAAGAGUUAUUGUGGCUGAUCUGAUGAGAUGAGUGACCUCUUCCUCCCCUGUUAUUCCACAUGCACUCCCCACAAAGCUGCACAUUUCUUUAAGGGGGCUAACCUUUCCCAAUAGAGGAAGACUCUUGGUAGGUCAAGGGUAAGCAAGUAGCAGCACUCCCCUGAUAGAACUUCCCCAAAGCAAUUCAUCUUUAUCAACCAGCAAAUGAACAUACAGAAUUUGGUAUACGCCUAGAAUGGGAUAUUGAUAACCACAAAAGGAUAAAUUUCUUAUUCAUGCUAU
rnacentral:snRNA from 1 species